rnacentral:lncRNA from 1 species
GACCCUGUGAUCAGGGAGAACAAAAGUUUUCUCACCCGACAAUCUGAUGAAUAGGUACUCAGACUGAUCUUGGAACCACUCAUGAGCCAAAGAAGAAAUUAUUUUGUAAUUAAUUAGUAAUAGCUACUCUCUUAGUCCAUUUCUAUAAAACAAAAUAAAACAAAUAAACAAACAAACAAACAAAAUUCCAAAACACCACAGACUGGUAGCUGAUAACAACAGAAAUUUAUUUUUCACGGUUUUGGAGACUAAAGUCCAAGAUUAGGGAACAAGCCUUCUGAGGAGGACCCUCUUCCUGGUUCAUAACCAGUGCCAUCUCCCUGUGUCCUCAUAUGGUAGAAGGGGCUAGGAAGCUCUGUGGGGUCCAUUUCAUAAGGCACUGGGGGGCUCCAUCUGCAUGACCUAAUUACCUCCAAAGAUCCCACCUUCUAAUACCAUUACAUUGGGCAUUAGCAUUUUAACAUAUAAAUUGGUAGGGACACACAUUUUCAGGCCCUAGCAUGUACUUUUAGUUGAUAUUUGCCAUAUUUUUUCAAAACUACCUAAUUCCCAAGAAAAAAAUUAGCUCCAAAUCCUGCUAAAAGAUGAAUUGGGGGAGGUAAUGGUUCCAUUAAACUUGGAUUCAAUACUGUAAAUAUAAAUUUAGCCUGCAUUUUACCUUCUGAGUAAAAAAAGGGUAUAUAUACUUGCAGUUUGAGUGUGUGUGUGUGUGUGUGUGUGUAAGGAAUGGAGUCAGGUAGGAUGUGAGGAGAAGAAUGAUUUCCCACUAAUAGGAAAUCAUUAAGUACCUUCUCAGCAGAGAAGAGAAUUUAUAUAAAAUUGACUUGGAGGACAGAGAUUUCUCUUAGCAUAACCUCUUUGUAUUUAGAAAGUGCUAUUGACUUAGGGCAAAUAUUGGAAAAUACUUGGAAAAAAUAUUGGAAAGUAUACCAACUUGAAACCAGAGCCUUGGUUUCUAAUUUCAGUUAUGUCAUUAGUUAGGUGUGUGAACUUGUGUAAAUUACUUUUGUUCUCUGGACCUCUGCUUCUUUACCUGUCAAGUGAGCAAUUAGGACAAUCUGGUCUCUGCAUUUCCUUUCAGCUCUAAUAACCUAUACUUCUUUGAUAGAGGCCAUUUGAUUAAGUGAAAAAACCAUGAGCAUAUAGCAUCAGGCCUUUGUGAUACAAACUUUCCCAAAAUGCUAAAUUGUAAUGAGGGCUGAAACUGUAUGUAUGAAACUCUCUCACUUACUUCAGGCUCCAGGAAUUCCCUUUUCUUCUGAUCUCAGAACAAUUAGCGUCUGGGUCAACCAUUUGGUAACCCAUCCAUCAUGUGGUAUCUCUUCCAUUUUGGUCUUUAGUAUUACCUAAAUAUUUUAUUAUUACUAGUAAUGAUAACAGUGGUGAUUAACCUAUCGCUGACUAUGUGCCAGGCACUGUGCUAGGUAAUUGUGUAUAAUCCUUCCAGCAGCAAAUGGAAGUAGGUAUUUCCUUGCUUGAAGGUUAGGGCCAUGCCAUAUUUUAUUAAAUACCCCCAUAGCACCAAGCACAGCACCUUGAACAUGGUAGAUGUUCAUUACCUACAUGUUUGAUUGACUGAAAUGUGGCAGUAGGUCCCUGCAUCUCCCUAUAAUGUAUGUAGUUAUUUGAUUUAUAAGAAAUUUCUGUCCCUGACUGUGGUCAGCUAUUGAAUUUAUGUUUGACAAGAAAACCAUAGAGUUUGGCAACUCUGCAGUGAUAGGUGAUGUGUGAUUCAUCUGGGGAAGAACAGACAUUUUCUAUUCAGACUUUGAAUUCCUGGGUCUUAUGGUUAGUUAAUCAUGUCUAUAGGAAUGCAUGACUGAGCAGACAGAUUCAAAGGUAGGAGUCUUUAAUCUCAAUUACCCUAUUGUGUGUUUCCAGAUAUCAUCUUGUCGCCCUGUGGUAAUAUUUUCUAUACCUACCGCUCAGAUAUAUGAGGUGAAUAGAGUCUGCUCUUUGUUCAUUUUAAGAGAAAUUCUAUAAUACAGGAAACAUAGUCCAAGCUGGACGUGGUAGGUAUCUAAGAUCCAGAACAUCAUGACCCUUCAAAGCAGCCAGGAAAUUCCCCCAAUAGUCACAUUUGCCAUGUCCCAAGGAGGCUGCCUGGGUUGGCACACAAUGGGAGACUCACGGGGACACACCCUUCUCAAAAGAGGCUCCAAGGAAGAAAUUAAAAAUGGUUCUGGAAGCUACUCAGUGACAGAGGUAGCAGAGUGAGAGCUGGUAGAAGUCACAGAGAGCCACCAUUUCAGCUGCUUCUCACUGGUCUUGCCCCCAGGAGGCUGGCACAGCAGUUCCUCCUUGAGGAACUACUCUUGGCCUCCUUAAAAUCCCCCAGGUUCCCAGUGGAUGUUCUUCUUCAUUCUCCCUCUGAAAUCACUGGAGUCUGGGCUGCGGUGGGGGCAGGGGAGUAAUAUGGUAGGUGUUGAACAUUCCCAGUUUGACCAGCAGGAGAAAUGCCCCCGUAAAUCCAUCAAAGAAGGCCCACCAAGUCCUUCAGAAAGAAGAGGCAGCCAGUGACAUGAAUACGAUUAUUGUAAUGGAGCAAAAUGUGUGACUCUCGGGGAUUCUGUUAAAUCCAGCCAAAGUGAAUGCUACAGUUAACCCAUUUCCCUGGGGAGCACUAACCCUGAAGCAGACUUAUUAAUUAGGGCUUCUGAGGGGUAUGGCAGAGGUGGGGAUGGGUGAGCUUUUUUAGUUACAGAGACAGAGCUCCAUUCUAAUCUGCUCCUGUCCAUGGGGGCAACUCCUGUAUCUUUUUUUUUUUUUUUUUUAAACCAAACAGUUUGAACAUAGUGCUCACCAGAUCCCUGUGGUGCUAAAGAGCAUUUUCCAUUCAAAGAGAGCGGGAAAAAAAGUUUUUAAAAUGAAUCAGUAGGUGGAGCUCUUUCUUUCUUUCUUUCUUUUUCAAUCCCAGGUCCAAUUUUUAGUGAGGGACACAGAACUUUUGAAUAUAAAAAAAAAAAAAAA